GACGAACGCUGGCGGCGUGCCUAAUACAUGCAAGUCGAGCGAAGUUUUUCUGGUGCUUGCACUAGAAAAACUUAGCGGCGAACGGGUGAGUAACACGUAAAGAACCUGCCUCAUAGACUGGGACAACUAUUGGAAACGAUAGCUAAUACCGGAUAACAGCAUUAACUGCAUGGUUGUUGUUUAAAAGUUGGUUUUGCUAACACUAUGAGAUGGCUUUGCGGUGCAUUAGCUAGUUGGUGGGGUAAAGGCCUACCAAGGCGACGAUGCAUAGCCGACCUGAGAGGGUGAUCGGCCACACUGGGACUGAGACACGGCCCAGACUCCUACGGGAGGCAGCAGUAGGGAAUCUUCCGCAAUGGGCGAAAGCCUGACGGAGCAACGCCGCGUGAGUGAAGAAGGAUUUCGGUUCGUAAAGCUCUGUUGUUAGGGAAGAAUGAUUGUGUAGUAACUAUACACAGUAGAGACGGUACCUAACCAGAAAGCCACGGCUAACUACGUG
rnacentral:rRNA from 1 species